rnacentral:siRNA from 1 species
CGCGGAUUACGGUGGCGGCCUA